rnacentral:lncRNA from 1 species
CCUGGAUUGCAUUCGUUGUAGUCAUCCUGCGGCUCUUCUUCCCGCGUCACUUCCCUGGUAUCAUUUCCUAUCUAUUUUUUUACCUAUCCUUGCUGCCCCUAGCAAAUUAUCUCUAUGUGUUGCAUUUCUCAUCUUUGUUGUGCCCUGUGAAGAUAUUUUUCAGCUUAUAUAACACUACCGAAAAAUGUGUCCUUAUUUUUCAUCUACUCCCUCCGUCCCAUAAUAUAAGAUCAUUUUUGAAGCUAACAUAGCUUCAAAAACGUUCUUAUAUUAUGGGACAGAGGAAGUACUUAAUAAGCCGUUAAAAUGUUACAGACAUCUCACAAUGAUUUUCAUCAUGUGUAUCAGAUUGGCUAGAGCUGCCUGGCUCUCUGAUUCUUCUCACGGUGGUCGCCCCCAGCCUCUUUGCGGAGCACUUCAGGAACGAUCUUGUCGGCGUCUUCAUAUGCCUCGCCAUCGGGUGCUACCUGCUCCAAGAGCACAUCAGGGUGUCAGGAGGCUUCAGGGAGGCCUUCAGGAAGGCCAAUGGCGUCUCCAACACCAUCGGCAUCGUCCUGCUCUUCGUCUACCCAGUCUGGGUCCUGGUGCUCUGGCUCCUGUAGGACAUCUACUGCUAUCAGUAUCGCCAUUGAUUGCCUUGUGCAGUUCUGUUCGAUGUUUGGUAAUUCAUCCUGUGGACGUUAUUGAUGUUGAUUCGGUGUGGGUCGUUCGGCGCCGAUGAGCUGUGCAUGUUUGUACCUUUUGAUGGACACAUGUUUCGAUUUGUUGUAGUUUUGGUAUCAGAAUCCUUGUUUCCUUGAUUUGGGUGUACAGAACCAUCAAUAAGAACAUCAUCACUGUUGAUUGGUGUAUUGAAGUCGAGCUGCUGUCUAAAUUCUCUCGUGUUUG